CAGAGACCACCCAGAGAACAGAGAUGCCGCUCAGCAGAGCUCUGAUUUUGGGGGUCCUCGCCCUGACCACCAUGCUCAGCCCCUGUGGAGGUCAAGACGACAUUGAGGCCGACCACGUAGCCGCCUAUGGUAUAAAUAUGUAUCAGUAUUAUGAAUCCAGAGGCCAGUACACACAUGAAUUUGAUGGUGACGAGGAAUUCUAUGUGGACUUGGAUAAGAAGGAGACCAUCUGGAGGAUCCCCGAGUUUGGACAACUGACAAGCUUUGACCCCCAAGGUGGACUUCAAGAGAUAGCUACAGCAAAAUACAAUUUGGAAAUCCUGAUGAAGUCAAAUUCAACCAGGUUCCUGAGGCGACCGUGUUUUCCAAGUCCCCUGUGCUGCUGGGUCAGCCCAACACCCUCAUCUGCUUUGUAGACAACAUCUUUCCUCCUGCGAUCAAUAUCACGUGGUUGAGAAACAGCAAGCCAGUCACAGAAGGCACUUUUGAGACCAGCUUCCUCUCCAACCCUGACCAUUCCUUCCACAAGAUGGCUUACCUCACCUUCAUCCCUUCUAACGAUGACAUUUAUGACUGCAAGGUGGAGCACUGGGGCCUCGACGAGCCGGUUCUAAAACAC
rnacentral:lncRNA from 1 species